GCGCUGUGGAACCACCCGAUCACAUCCCGAACUCGGAAGUGAAACGCAGCUGCGCCGAUGGUAGUGUGGCUCAAGCCAUGCGAGAGUAGGUCAUCGCCAGGG
rnacentral:rRNA from 2 species